AACGAACGCUGGCGGCAGGCUUAACACAUGCAAGUCGAACGCAUCCUUCGGGGUGAGUGGCAGACGGGUGAGUAACGCGUGGGAACGUGCCCUUCAGUUCGGGAUAACCCAGGGAAACUUGGGCUAAUACCGGAUACGUGCGAGAGCAGAAAGAUUUAUCGCUGAAGGAUCGGCCCGCGUCUGAUUAGCUAGUUGGUGGGGUAAUGGCCCACCAAGGCGACGAUCAGUAGCUGGUCUGAGAGGAUGAUCAGCCACACUGGGACUGAGACACGGCCCAAACUCCUACGGGAGGCAGCAGUGGGGAAUAUUUGACAAUGGGCGCAAGCCUGAUCCAGCCAUGCCGCGUGAGUGAUGUAGGCCUUAGGGUUGUAAAGCUCUUUCGUCCGGGACGAUAAUGACGGUACCGGAAGAAGAAGCCCCGGCUAACUUCGUGCCAGCCGCCGCAGUAA
rnacentral:rRNA from 1 species